rnacentral:rRNA from 1 species
GACGAACGCUGGCGGCGUGCUUAACACAUGCAAGUCGAACGGAAAGGCCCUGCUUUUGUGGGGUGCUCGAGUGGCGAACGGGUGAGUAACACGUGAGUAACCUGCCCUUGACUUUGGGAUAACUUCAGGAAACUGGGGCUAAUACCGGAUAGGAGCUCCUGCUGCAUGGUGGGGGUUGGAAAGUUUCGGCGGUUGGGGAUGGACUCGCGGCUUAUCAGCUUGUUGGUGGGGUAGUGGCUUACCAAGGCUUUGACGGGUAGCCGGCCUGGGAGGGGGACCGGCCACAUUGGGACUGAGAUACGGCCCAGACUCCUACGGGAGGCAGCAGUGGGGAAUAUUGCACAAUGGGCGGAAGCAUGAUGCAGCAACGCCGCGUGCGGGAUGACGGCCUUCGGGUUGUAAACCGCUUUCGCCUGUGACGAAGCGUGAGUGACGGUAAUGGGUAAAGAAGCACCGGCUAACUACGUG